rnacentral:rRNA from 1 species
GGUUAAGCGACUAAGCGUACACGGUGGAUGCCCUGGCAGUCAGAGGCGAUGAAGGGCGUGCUAAUCUGCGAUAAGCGCCGGUAAGGUGAUAUGAACCGUUAUAACCGGCGAUACCCGAAUGGGGAAACCCAGUGUGACUCGUCACACUAUCAUUAACUGAAUCCAUAGGUUAAUGAGGCGAACCGGGGGAACUGAAACAUCUAAGUACCCCGAGGAAAAGAAAUCAACCGAGAUUCCCCCAGUAGCGGCGAGCGAACGGGGAGGAGCCCAGAGCCUGAAUCAGCAUGUGUGUUAGUGGAAGCGUCUGGAAAGGCGCGCGAUACAGGGUGACAGCCCCGUACACAAAAGCGCAUGUGCUGUGAGCUCGAUGAGUAGGGCGGGACACGUGGUAUCCUGUCUGAAUAUGGGGGGACCAUCCUCCAAGGCUAAAUACUCCUGACUGACCGAUAGUGAACCAGUACCGUGAGGGAAAGGCGAAAAGAACCCCGGCGAGGGGAGUGAAAAAGAACCUGAAACCGUGUACGUACAAGCAGUGGGAGCACAGGUUUACCUGUGUGACUGCGUACCUUUUGUAUAAUGGGUCAGCGACUUAUAUUCUGUAGCAAGGUUAACCGAAUAGGGGAGCCGGAGGGAAACCGAGUCUUAAUUGGGCGUUAAGUUGCAGGGUAUAGACCCGAAACCCGGUGAUCUAGCCAUGGGCAGGUUGAAGGUUGGGUAACACUAACUGGAGGACCGAACCGACUAAUGUUGAAAAAUUAGCGGAUGACCUGUGGCUGGGGGUGAAAGGCCAAUCAAACCGGGAGAUAGCUGGUUCUCCCCGAAAGCUAUUUAGGUAGCGCCUCGUGAAUUCAUCUCCGGGGGUAGAGCACUGUUUCGGCUAGGGGGCCAUCCCGGCUUACCAACCCGAUGCAAACUGCGAAUACCGGAGAAUGUUAUCACGGGAGACACACGGCGGGUGCUAACGUCCGUCGUGAAGAGGGAAACAACCCAGACCGCCAGCUAAGGUCCCAAAGUCAUGGUUAAGUGGGAAACGAUGUGGGAAGGCCCAGACAGCCAGGAUGUUGGCUUAGAAGCAGCCAUCAUUUAAAGAAAGCGUAAUAGCUCACUGGUCGAGUCGGCCUGCGCGGAAGAUGUAACGGGGCUAAACCAUGCACCGAAGCUGCGGCAGCGAACGUAUCACCCAAGACAACUUUGCGGAGUUGACGAUUGACGGAGCGAAGCGACGUCAAAGCGUUCAUUAAAGUCGAGUUGGCUUAGGGAUACGUUCGUUGGGUAGGGGAGCGUUCUGUAAGCCUGUGAAGGUGGCCUGUGAGGGUUGCUGGAGGUAUCAGAAGUGCGAAUGCUGACAUAAGUAACGAUAAAGCGGGUGAAAAGCCCGCUCGCCGGAAGACCAAGGGUUCCUGUCCAACGUUAAUCGGGGCAGGGUGAGUCGACCCCUAAGGCGAGGCCGAAAGGCGUAGUCGAUGGGAAACGGGUUAAUAUUCCCGUACUUGGUGUUACUGCGAAGGGGGGACGGAGAAGGCUAUGUUGGCCGGGCGACGGUUGUCCCGGUUUAAGCGUGUAGGUGUGUGUUCCAGGUAAAUCCGGUUCACUUUAACACUGAGGCGUGACGACGAGGCACUACGGUGCUGAAGCAACAAAUGCCCUGCUUCCAGGAAAAGCCUCUAAGCAUCAGGUAACAUCAAAUCGUACCCCAAACCGACACAGGUGGUCAGGUAGAGAAUACCAAGGCGCUUGAGAGAACUCGGGUGAAGGAACUAGGCAAAAUGGUGCCGUAACUUCGGGAGAAGGCACGCUGACACGUAGGUGAAGUGAUUUACUCAUGGAGCUGAAGUCAGUCGAAGAUACCAGCUGGCUGCAACUGUUUAUUAAAAACACAGCACUGUGCAAACACGAAAGUGGACGUAUACGGUGUGACGCCUGCCCGGUGCCGGAAGGUUAAUUGAUGGGGUCAGCGCAAGCGAAGCUCCUGAUCGAAGCCCCGGUAAACGGCGGCCGUAACUAUAACGGUCCUAAGGUAGCGAAAUUCCUUGUCGGGUAAGUUCCGACCUGCACGAAUGGCGUAAUGAUGGCCAGGCUGUCUCCACCCGAGACUCAGUGAAAUUGAACUCGCUGUGAAGAUGCAGUGUACCCGCGGCAAGACGGAAAGACCCCGUGAACCUUUACUAUAGCUUGACACUGAACAUUGAGCCUUGAUGUGUAGGAUAGGUGGGAGGCUUUGAAGCGUGGACGCCAGUCUGCGUGGAGCCGACCUUGAAAUACCACCCUUUAAUGUUUGAUGUUCUAACGUGGACCCGUAAUCCGGGUUGCGGACAGUGUCUGGUGGGUAGUUUGACUGGGGCGGUCUCCUCCUAAAGAGUAACGGAGGAGCACGAAGGUUGGCUAAUCCUGGUCGGACAUCAGGAGGUUAGUGCAAUGGCAUAAGCCAGCUUGACUGCGAGCGUGACGGCGCGAGCAGGUGCGAAAGCAGGUCAUAGUGAUCCGGUGGUUCUGAAUGGAAGGGCCAUCGCUCAACGGAUAAAAGGUACUCCGGGGAUAACAGGCUGAUACCGCCCAAGAGUUCAUAUCGACGGCGGUGUUUGGCACCUCGAUGUCGGCUCAUCACAUCCUGGGGCUGAAGUAGGUCCCAAGGGUAUGGCUGUUCGCCAUUUAAAGUGGUACGCGAGCUGGGUUUAGAACGUCGUGAGACAGUUCGGUCCCUAUCUGCCGUGGGCGCUGGAGAACUGAGGGGGGCUGCUCCUAGUACGAGAGGACCGGAGUGGACGCAUCACUGGUGUUCGGGUUGUCAUGCCAAUGGCACUGCCCGGUAGCUAAAUGCGGAAGAGAUAAGUGCUGAAAGCAUCUAAGCACGAAACUUGCCCCGAGAUGAGUUCUCCCUGAGACUUUAGGUCUCCUGAAGGAACGUUGAAGACGACGACGUUGAUAGGCCGGGUGUGUAAGCGCAGCGAUGCGUUGAGCUAACCGGUACUAAUGAACCGUGAGGCUUAACCUU